UGAUCCUGCUCAGAUGAACGCUGGCGGUAUGCUAACACAUGCAAGUCGAACGGCAGCAUAAGAGAGCUGCUCUCUGAUGCGAGUGGCGGACGGGUGAGUAACGCGUAGGAAUCUGCCUUAAAGUGGGGGACAACCAGGGGAAACUCUGGCUAAUACCGCAUAAUCCUUACGGGGCAAAGUGGGCCUCUUUACAAUGCUCACGCUUUAAGAUGAGCGUGCGUCCGAUUAGCUAGUUGGUGGGGUAAAAGCCUACCAAGGCGACGAUCGGUAGCUGGUCUGAGAGGACGAUCAGCCACACUGGGACUGAGACACGGCCCAGACUCCUACGGGAGGCAGCAGUGGGGAAUAUUGGACAAUGGGGGCAACCCUGAUCCAGCAAUACCGCGUGUGUGAAGAAGGCCUGCGGGUUGUAAAGCACUUUCAGUAGGGAGGAGAUGUUGAUGAUUAAUACUCAUCAGCGGAGACGUUACCUACAGAAGAAGCACCGGCUAACUCUGUGCCAGCAGCCGCGGUAAUACAGAGGGUGCAAGCGUUAAUCGGAAUUACUGGGCGUAAAGCGCACGUAGGUGGAUAGGCAAGUUGGAUGUGAAAGCCCCGGGCUCAACCUGGGAAUGCCAUUCAAAACUGCCUGUCUAGAGUACAGUAGAGGGAAGUGGAAUUUCAGGUGUAGCGGUGAAAUGCGUAGAUAUCUGAAGGAACACCAGUGGCGAAGGCGGCUUCCUGGACUGAUACUGACACUGAGGUGCGAAAGCGUGGGUAGCGAACAGGAUUAGAUACCCUGGUAGU
rnacentral:rRNA from 1 species